AUUGAACGCUGGCGGCAUGCCUUACACAUGCAAGUCGAACGGUAACAGGUUAAGCUGACGAGUGGCGAACGGGUGAGUAAUACAUCGGAACGUGCCCAGUAGUGGGGGAUAGCCCGGCGAAAGCCGGAUUAAUACCGCAUACGACCUAAGGGUGAAAGGGGGGGAUCGCAAGACCUCUCGCUAUUGGAGCGGCCGAUGUCAGAUUAGCUAGUUGGUGGGGUAAAAGCUCACCAAGGCGACGAUCUGUAGCUGGUCUGAGAGGACGACCAGCCACACUGGGACUGAGACACGGCCCAGACUCCUACGGGAGGCAGCAGUGGGGAAUUUUGGACAAUGGGCGCAAGCCUGAUCCAGCCAUGCCGCGUGCGGGAAGAAGGCCUUCGGGUUGUAAACCGCUUUUGUCAGGGAAGAAAUCCUUUGGGUUAAUACCUCGGGGGGAUGACGGUACCUGAAGAAUAAGCACCAGCUAACUACGUG
rnacentral:rRNA from 1 species